UUACAUGAUGACUAACAUUUCUUCACUUUGACCUAAUGACAGUUGAAGAAAUCUGAUGUUUGAGG